GAUGAACGCUAGCGGCAGGCUUAACACAUGCAAGUCGAGGGGCAGCGCGAUGUAGCAAUACAUUGGCGGCGACCGGCGCACGGGUGCGUAACACGUAUGGAACUUACCCUUUACUGGGAGAUAGCCCGGAGAAAUCCGGAUUAAUAUCCCAUAAUAAACGAAGUGGCAUCACUUUGUUUGAAAGCUCCGGCGGUAAAGGAUGGCCAUGCGCACGAUUAGCUAGUAGGUGAGGUAACGGCUCACCUAGGCUACGAUCGUUAGGGGGCCUGAGAGGGUUAUCCCCCACACUGGUACUGAGACACGGACCAGACUCCUACGGGAGGCAGCAGUGAGGAAUAUUGCGCAAUGGAGGCAACUCUGACGCAGCCAUGCCGCGUGCAGGAAGAAGGCGCUACGCGUUGUAAACUGCUUUUAACCGGGAAGAAACCCUCCGACGUGUCGGAGGUUGACGGUACCGGAGGAAUAAGCACCGGCUAACUUCGUGCCAGCAGCCGCGG
rnacentral:rRNA from 1 species